rnacentral:rRNA from 1 species
AACGAACGCUGGCGGCGCGUCUUAAGCAUGCAAGUCGAACGGCAAGAGAGGAGCUUGCUUCUCCCUAGAGUGGCGGACUGGUGAGGAACGCGUGGGUAAUCUACCCUUAAGAUGGGGAUAGCCGCUAGAAAUAGCGGGUAAUACCGAAUAGACUUAUAGCUGAGAAAGAAGUGAUAAGGAAAGGAAGCUAAGGCUUCGCUUAAGGAUGAGCCUGCGUCCCAUUAGCUAGUUGGUAAGGUAACGGCCUACCAAGGCGACGAUGGGUAUCCGGCCUGAGAGGGUGAACGGACACAUUGGGACUGAGAUACGGCCCAAACUCCUACGGGAGGCAGCAGCUAAGAAUAUUCCGCAAUGGACGGAAGUCUGACGGAGCGACACCGCGUGGAUGAAGAAGGCUGAAAAGUUGUAAAAUUCUUUUGCUGAUGAAGAAUAAAGAUAAGAGGGAAUGCUAUCAGAUGACGGUAGUCGGCGAAUAACCCCGCUAA